rnacentral:rRNA from 1 species
UAUUCGGCAAUGGGGGAAACCCUGACCGAGCAACGCCGCGUGAGGGAAGACGGUUUUCGGAUUGUAAACCUCUGUCCUCUGUGAAGAUAGUGACGGUAGCAGAGGAGGAAGCUCCGGCUAACUACGUGCCAGCAGCCGCGGUAAUACGUAGGUGGCAAGCGUUGUCCGGAUUUACUGGGUGUAAAGGGCGUGCAGCCGGGCCGGCAAGUCAGAUGUGAAAUCUGGAGGCUUAACCUCCAAACUGCAUUUGAAACUGUUGGUCUUGAGUACCGGAGAGGUUAUCGGAAUUCCUUGUGUAGCGGUGAAAUGCGUAGAUAUAAGGAAGAACACCAGUGGCGAAGGCGGAUAACUGGACGGCAACUGACGGUGAGGCGCGAAAGCGUGGGGAGCAA